GACGAACGCUGGCGGCGUGCUACAUACAUGCAAGUCGAACGAGAAGCUGACUUCGGUCAGUGGAAAGUGGCGGACGGGUGGGUAAUAUGUAGGAAAUCUGCCUUUAGGAGGGGGACAACAGAGGGAAACUUCUGCUAAUACCCCAUAUGAGCGUAGCUGAAAUGCUAUUCUUGAAAACUCCGGUGCCUAAAGAUGAGCCUGCAUCUGAUUAGGUAGUUGGUAGUGUAAUGGACUACCAAGGCGACGAUCAGUAGCUGGUUUGGGAGGAUGAACAGCCACAAUGGGACUUAGGAACGGCCCAUACUCCUACGGGGGGGAGGAGGUGGGAAUUUUGCGCAAUUGGCGAAAGCCUGACGCAGCAACGCCGCGGGAACGAAUAAGCCCUUCGGGGUGUAAAGUUCUGUCAGUGGGGACGAAACUUGACGGUACCCACAGAGGAAGCACCGGCUAACUCCGUG
rnacentral:rRNA from 1 species